GCUGAGGGCACUGGGUCUGUUCAGCCUGGAGGAGACUGAGGGGAGGCCUCACUGCAGUUACAGCUUCCUUGUGAGGGGAAGAGGAGGGGCAGGCACUGAUCUCUGCUCUGUCGUGACCAGAGACAGGACCUGAGGGAAUGGCCUGAGUUGUAUCAGGAAAGGUUUAGGUUGGAUAAUAGGAAAAAAGUUUUUCCCCCGAGGGUGUUUGGGCAUUGGAAUGGGCUCCCCAGGAAAGUGGUCACAGCACCAAGCCUGACAGAGUUCAAGGAAUGUUUGGACAAUGCUCUUGGGCAUCGAUGAGGUAUUUGAGGCAGACCUAUGCAGUGCCAGGAGUUGGGUUUUGAUGGUCCUUGCCAGUCCCAACUCAAGAUAUUCUAUGAUUCUAAGAUGUAAGAUGUCCUUUGUGACAUCUUUCAAGCACCUUUAAAUAGAUUUGUUGGGAGCAACUGCAGCCAGCGCUUGACUACCGCAAACUGUAGGUAGUUAUCAGAGUCCUACGCUAUUAGAAUUAUCCAUCAGUGAAUGAACUGAAAGGCAUACACACCACUCUCCUGGGGGAAGAGAAAAAUGUAAGUAUGCUGGCUGCUGAAAAAUUUCAACUGAAAAAUCAGGGUUGGGAGUAUAUGGGAACAACACAAUUCUGAGGUACACUUAAUGUGGUGAAAUCUGGAAUGCACCAAGACAGGUAUGUAGUUAAAACCAUCAGAAACUGCUAUGCAGGGUCUGAGGAAAGCACUUUCAAACAUAUAUGCAAAAAAAAAUUGAUACAUGGACUAAAUAGACAUUGCUUUAUUAUAACAACUAUAUUAAAAAUAAAUUCCUAUGUAUUUCUUCAACCUAGUUUUCACAGGAUGUGUUUCUUUACAUUAGCUGAUUGACUUUUAGUGUUAUUUGAUACUUUAUUUAUAAUGGUCUGUCAAGAGGUAAUUAUUAGUAGUCAAAUUUGAUGCUGGAAGAUCAAGUUCAAUUCCUUUCUUAUUCAAUCUUGGAAGUUGUAUUUAAAAAAAAAUUCACACAUGCAGAAACUAGCACUAUGCUUGUGCUCCAGAGCUUAUUGGACGAACACCCAUCAGUGAUGAGGUGAGAAUGUGCAUGACACUACACUGUAAAAUAAUCUUUCCAUUGUUUUACCAUUUGAAAUAUAGAUACGCCAUUUUCCAACAGUGAGAGUU